UACAGAGGGUGCAAGCGUUGCUCGGAAUUAUUGGGCGUAAAGCGCGCGUAGGCGGCUACCUAAGUCGGAUGUGAAAGCCCCUGGCUUAACUGGGGAAGUGCACCCGAAACUGGGUAGCUAGAGUGCAAAAGAGGGUCGCGGAAUUCCCGGUGUAGAGGUGAAAUUCGUAGAUAUCGGGAGGAACACCGGUGGCGAAGGCGGCGACCUGGGUUGACACUGACGCUGAGGCGCGAAAGCGUGGGGAGCAAACAGG
rnacentral:rRNA from 1 species